ensembl:snoRNA small nucleolar RNA snR60/Z15/Z230/Z193/J17
UUCAUACAGUGAUGACCACAUAGUUCAGCAGAUUUACCGUGAAGAAUUAUCAGCUUUGUCUUUUGCUCCUAACUGAUGUAGCUG